UACGGAGGGUGCAAGCGUUAUCCGGAUUUACUGGGUUUAAAGGGUGCGUAGGUGGGUAGGUAAGUCAGGGGUGAAAUCUUCGAGCUUAACUCGGAAACUGCCAUUGAUACUAUUUAUCUUGAAUACUCUGGAGGUAAGCGGAAUAUGUCAUGUAGCGGUGAAAUGCUUAGAUAUGACAUAGAGCACCAAUUGCGAAGGCAGCUUACUACAUAGUUAUUGACACUGAGGCACGAAAGCGUGGGGAUCAAACAGG
rnacentral:rRNA from 1 species